GAUGAACGCUGGCGGCGUGCCUAAUACAUGCAAGUCGAACGAUGAAGCCGGAGCUUGCUCUGGUGAAUUAGUGGCGAACGGGUGAGUAACACGUGAGUAACCUGCCCUUGACUCUGGGAUAAGUGCGGGAAACUGUAGCUAAUACCGGAUACGACCGUCGGAGGCAUCUCCUGGGGGUGGAAAGAAUUUCGGUCAAGGAUGGACUCGCGGCCUAUCAGCUAGUUGGAGAGGUAAAGGCUCACCAAGACUAUGACGGGUAGCUGGAUCGAGAGGUUGACCAGCCAGACUGGGACUGAGACACGGCCCAGACUCCUACGGGAGGCAGCAGUGAGGAAUUUUCCGCAAUGGGCGAAAGCCUGACGGAGCGACGCCGCGUGAAGGAUGAAGGUUUUCGGACUGUAAACUUCUUUUCGCAGAGAUGAUUAUGACAGUAUCUGCGGAAUAAGCACCGGCUAACUACGUGCCAGCAGCCGCAGUAA
rnacentral:rRNA from 1 species